AGGGUCCCCUGUGAGUGACAAGGGCAAGUCUUAGUUACAACUUGGUCCAGUCUGCCAGCCUUGUCAAUGAAAGGAUUCCCUUCCUGAAUGCUCCAUAGUGAAAUCAGGGUUACACACCAGGAGUGGGAUUGCAGGACCGUACAAGUGUGUGUUUAACAUCAUAGGAAACUGCCAUGCCGUUUUUCAGAGUGGGUGCACCAUUUUACAUUCCCACUAGUGACGUAGGAGCCUGAUAGCUGUUCUGCAUUUCCACAUCUGUUUUUUCUCAUCAUUGAAUUUCUACCACCAAGCAUAGAACCUGGCACUGGGGCUGUCAGCCUGUACACGUGGAUUUUGCAGCCUGGAUUCUCACUUGACAUCCUGUAAGAAGCUUUUCCCUGUGUCGGAC